CAGUCGCCACGGUAAUACGAAGGGGGCUAGCGUUGUUCGGAUUUACUGGGCGUAAAGCGCACGUAGGCGGACUUUUAAGUCAGGGGUGAAAUCCCGGGGCUCAACCCCGGAACUGCCUUUGAUACUGGGAGUCUUGAGUUCGAGAGAGGUGAGUGGAAUUGCGAGUGUAGAGGUGAAAUUCGUAGAUAUUCGCAGGAACACCAGUGGCGAAGGCGGCCCACUGGCUCGAUACUGACGCUGAGGUGCGAAAGCGUGGGGAGCAAACAGGAUUAGAUACCCCAGUAGUCCCUGUCUCUUAUAC
rnacentral:rRNA from 1 species